AAGUUAUAUAUAUGGAUAUGUGG
rnacentral:piRNA from 1 species